UACGAAGGGGACUAGCGUUGUUCGGAAUUACUGGGCGUAAAGCGCACGUAGGCGGAUUUGUUAGUCAGGGGUGAAAUCCCGGGGCUCAACCUCGGAACUGCCUUUGAUACUGCAAGUCUCGAGUCCGAUAGAGGUGGGUGGAAUUCCUAGUGUAGAGGUGAAAUUCGUAGAUAUUAGGAAGAACACCGGUGGCGAAGGCGGCCCACUGGAUCGGUACUGACGCUGAGGUGCGAAAGCGUGGGGAGCAAACAG
rnacentral:rRNA from 1 species